GUAUAUAGCUAUAUUAUUAUAGUCGAAUUAGGUGAGUCCGAAAAAGUGGAAAAAAGCGGCCGGUAAGGUUGUUGAUAAAAAGGUGCCGUAUUUAUGGGCAUGUUUAAAGAAGAAUAUAUUAAUGAUAAGGUCAUCAAGAAGAUAGUGGAUUCGCGUUAGACUAAAGCCGGGGAAGAAAUUAGAUUGAAGAAAAAGUGACUGUAUCUCUAUUAGGGGUGACAAUUGAGAGCACGUAGAGUACAUAAAAAAAUGAUGAUAUAUAAUAUACAUAUAAUUUUCUCAUAAACAGUGUAUAUAAAUGACCUAAUCUUCAUGGGUGACAUGAGAAACAUUUAGACGAUUUUAAAAGGGAGAUUUUAAGCAAGAGAACUAAAGAGAGACCUAGGAUUAUAUCCUCCAAAGGAUUAUGUCACAAAUUAGUUAUAAGAACUACAAUAGAAACUAAAGGAAACUGCUAAGGGUCGGUUUAUUUGGUUUCAAUAACAAUGACAAGGUUUAACUUUUAAAGGAAGAAAGUGACGGAUAUAGGCUAAACUAUCUCGCGUAAAAAUAAAAGACAGAAAAAACAUUUUUUGAUUACUCAAAAUGUUAUGUUCUGAGAAUUUUUAAUUCUCUCCUCUUUUUGAUAAUAGAGUUGCGUGGACUUUUCGUCACUGUUUUCAAACCCGAAAAGUUACGUUUUCCUUGACAUUUUUUGUUUUUGUAUUAUUAUUAUUUAUUUAUCAAUAGUAAACCAAUACUAUUGUGCAGUAAUACCAACGCAAUAGUAAUCAUCCACAGAGGGUUAUGCCGCAAUAAAUUAUAAUAAAAUAAUAACUGUGGCAAUAUAAUAUUGAAAACAGACGGAUUUUUAGGGCACCGGGUUAGGUCGGUUAGUUAACAUUUAACGCUUCCGAUUGUGUUAACCGUAUAUU